CAUUGCCCCCCCCACCUCUGGCCCCAUCUUCGGCCCUCCCACCUUGGGUCACCUGUCAUCGACCCUGAACUAAGGCUCUCUAUCUCUGGGCCCCUGGCUUUUCCAUCUCUAAUUGUGGGUGGCACUUAGUAUUGAACUGGGGGCAGAGCUGACUGUGGUGUCAGGUAACUAACAGGGCGCAGGAAGAAACUUGUGGCGCGUGAUGAUUCCAUGGGAUGAAUUCAUCUCUUCUGCUGAUGCCACAAGCUUUAAUGUCCCUGGCACCUCGAAGGCUCACCUUUCAGUUCACUUACUAUGGGCUAUCUGCAUUAUUUCUAUCAUACAUUCUUUCUUAUGCUUUUCAGCUGGUGUUUGAUCUUAUGAAAAUGUGGAGGUAAAUAUCUUCUUCAUAAACGUGGUGCAGCUUUUGUAUAGUUGCACAUAAAUAGUCACUCUGUGUUUUGUUACUUGUCUUUGAGAUUUUGCUAAGAAAUCUGUGAACCUAUUUCUUUCCUUCAACGCCCAACCGCGGACUUCUUUGAGGAAUUGUGUCCAGAAUUCAGCAUAUGGUAAAGCAAAGACGGUGCCUCUACAUACCAAAAGCUGGUGUUUGAUCUUAUGAAAAUGUGGAGAUUUUGCUAAGAAAUCUGUGAACCUAUUUCUUUCCUUCAACGCCCAACCGCGGACUUCUUUGAGGAAUUGUGUCCAGAAUUCAGCAUAAGGUAAA